rnacentral:lncRNA from 1 species
CAGCACAGACUUCAAUUAUGUAAAAGCUUAAUUGCCGAUGUAUCUGACAACAUUUCUAGGAUAAAAUCCUUUUAUAAGAACAUUCAAAGUGGAUGCAAAGAGAUAUCUGGAGCGUCUUGUGCUCCUUAUUGACAGAUAGCUUGAAGUCAUUAACCCUAACAAGAAAAAACAAAUGAAGCAACACAAUAAGGCAAUAAUAAAAGCCAUUCAAAUAUAUUAUAAGUAAUACCAAUUUCCACAGCAUUAAUUAGAUGUUUUAACAUUAAAACGUAAACCACAAGAAGAUAUAUAAGGAAAAGUUAGCUGCACAUUCUAGUUCCAGAAUAUUCUUGGAAAUCGAAUCAUCGCAACACAACCUGCAGUACAACACAAAAGGAUGAAACAUACUCAUAACCAUCGUCUUAAGAGGCACUAGCAACAAUUUCAGUACAGAUGUAACCAUCAAUACUGUUUAAAAUGACAGAUUGAAAUCAUGGGCAGGUGAGGCCCUCAUCAAGUCUAGGGUUUUAUGUUUUUUUUCUGUUUAUUCUGGAAUGAAGAUAAAGUUGUUCUAAGGUGGUUGAUGAAUAAAAAUAAAUGAGAAUCAAAUUAUUAAUAAUAAUGCAUAAAUUACACCUUUCACCCUGAAACAGAUAAAUUUAUUACUCUCUAAAAAGAAAAUGGGAUUAAUUCAGUUAUGUUAAAAAUGAAAAUCAAAUUCCAAAGUUCCAAAACGGUAUUAACAAACAAACUAUAAAUAAUUCCCCAUUUAAGCUAGGGGCCUGUGUUAUGCAAAAUAUAUCAGGAAAUAUCAAUUUAAGUAACAAAGUUCCAUGCAGAUUCUUCUAGGAUUAUAUUCAAGUUUACUAUUUCUUUUAGAAUUCUUUUUUUUUUUUUUCAAAAUCCUUUUCUACCAGAUGCAUUUAUCCCCAGCAUACUGAAAAAGCAGAUCAUAAUAGAAAACAAAUCUCAUAAAUAAAUUUAAAAAAGUUCAUUACCUAAAAAUAUUGUACACCUUUGGAUAGAACAAAGCACUGAAAACCUAAAGAACUGUCUACUUUCAUCAAAUAGCCUUAACUAUGAAGUCAAAGCACUUCUAAUUGCGUGAAUGGUCAAUGGUUACGCUACUUUAUUUAUUACUUGAGCAGUAAAAUAAAAGAAAAUUUAAAGUCAUAGAUAAGAAAACAAUUUCUUCAAAGUUUUUGAAGAUAAUAAAGCCAUAAAAUUUUCUCUCAACUUAAAUUUCACAAAAUUAACUAAAAUACUAGAGCUCAGGGAUUGAUUAUUUACUAAAAGAUAAAAUAGUGCAAAUUUUUUUCCACUCAUUAAUCUUAAUAUGGAAAGGUGAUGAUGAUGAUUAUUAACAGACAAUUGUCUAUCCUAGCCUUAUAGUCUAUGGUUGAGACUUAAGAUCCAACAUGUUAGAUUCUUUAUUAGAUGUUAAAAUGUUGUGACCGGUAACAUGUUUAUCAUUUGUCACCCGAUCCCUCGAAUUAGAAAUCAACACCAUGUCCUAGAAUCUAUGACAGUUAAUCUAAAAUCCACAAGCUCUACUAAGCACAGGGAUCUAGACAAAAAAAGACGGUCAUAUACACUGAUAAAUACAGAACAAGGAAGCAAGGAGUACAGUUAACAUAAAAAAUCAUUCAAAAUCUUUUAUAUUACAAGAACUACAGCCAAAAAAAAACUUUCAUCUUAAGCAGUAGAUCUAAAACUACAACUCUCACAAACAACUCAAGACUUGAGCUUUACAAACUAAGUAGAAUCACUCAAAUACAAUUACACAACACAGAAACAAGUAGAACCUCUGGGAUCCAAGCUAAAAACAAUAAAAUCAACAGCAGUUGCCAGCAGAGCAUGCUACUAUUUGAACAAAUAAGUUAACUUAAACCCUUGAAACUCAAAAACCAGAUCAGAACAGAGAACUAAUUCGUUUAUAAAAAGAAAAACAAACCCAGAUUAGUUUCAGCCACAUAACUAACUUUCUGUCCAGAUUAAAAUUAUAUAUAAAGACCAAUGACCUAAACAAGGAAAAUUCACCAAAUUUCCUUCUUUAAAUUAAUUAAUACACCAUCCAAAUAAUACGACUAUGAAAAUAUGACAGUUCAAAACCAUGCAUACAUAGCCCGAUAACCUAACCCUCAAUUGAUUCCCUGAACCAUGGAAACAAAAAGUUACAUGAAACACAUAAGAAGCAAAGUUACCCACAAAAAAAAAAAAAAAAGCUAGAAACUCCAAAUUGUUGGCAUGAUUGAUGAAAUAAGGUAAGAAACUGUGAAGUAAUAACCAGUAAAACGAUUAAGCUUGAAGGCAAUGAAAAAGAAUUAGUAGAUAUACCGUGAAGAAAUUCAAAUUCAGAGAAAAUUUGGAGAAAACUGAGGGAUCUGAGAAGCGACUAAAGACAUGUUAAGAAAGGUGGAGAAUCUUUAAAACAGAGAAAAUAAAUUUUUGGUAGCAUUUACGAAUUAAAGAAAGAACAGAAUUUCAACAAAGCGUGG